AGAGUUUGUUGGGGGUGUCAAUUCUACUUGCAUCCAAUCCUUCCAGUUCUAGAAGCAUGGCUUGAGAGUAGUUUUCUCUAGUUAGAUUGUGUUGCUGAGCAAUUUUGAGAGAUUGGACUGCUAUUUCCAUAGGCAGAAUUGCAUCAUGACCAUAGGUUAAAGCAUAUGGGGUCAUGCUAGUUGCCUCUCUCUUUGAAGUUCUAUAUGCCCAUAGAGUUUCUGAUAAUUUCUCAUGCCAUUGCUUGGAUUUUUCUCAAGCAUUUUCCUGAUAAUGUUGAUGAUCAC
rnacentral:lncRNA from 1 species